GAAUGAUUAGAACUCCGUAUACACACAAGAAUGCUGUGCCAUAUGACACGUAUCAGUUUACGUUAUUGUUUAUUAUUAUAUUAAAACUUUUAGUGUCCGUUUAUAUGAUCUCGCCUAGACGGAACUGGACAGUUUCAUUCCUCUCAGCUGGGAAACGCGCCCAAGAGAGAUAGCAUGUUAUAUAGACAAUAUAGUAUCGGUUUAUCUUUUGGUUGUGUCGGUUUAUCUUUUAGUUGUAUCGGUUUAUCUCUUAGUUGUAUCAGUUUAUCUUUUAGUCGUAUUGGUUUAUCUGUUAGUUGUAUCGGUUUAUGACAUUGAUGUAUUUGCACUUUACAUCAAUGUAUAGCACAUAACAUCAAUUUAUACGGGUAGGGAUAAAACGCUGAAACUGAAUCUCGGAAACGGAAAGUGAAAGCGGAAACUGAAAUGGGGAUAAAACGCUGAAAUGGGGG